rnacentral:rRNA from 1 species
AUGGAAGAAACCUUCGGUGACGAGGCGCGCGUGAAAGUCAGCAUCAUGAAGGCUGAAAGAUUGGACCACACAUCAAACAAGAGUCAUGUUUUUUAUCUUGGAGCAUUUGAUGGCCUUUGGGCGGAUGGUCGAGGCUCGGCACCUGGUGCGAAUGGUGUUGCUACUGCUGUGAACGUUGGUUUCACCAACUCAGACGCCGGACGGCAAGCUAAGGUAUCUGGCGGGAUGCCUAAUGCAGCACCAUCAGCAGCACGAUAUGCCUGCAGUACAUGUGGCUCCACUGGGCACAACGUGCAGAACUGCCCUGCAGCCAUGGAUAUCCAGCUACCACCAACAGGUUGGGACUUCACGCCGAGUUCAUAUGGCUCUUCUGCAUCCAAUGCUCGCCGGUGCUGCAAGUGCAAUCAGCCUGGGCACUGGGCCAGAGACUGUCCAUGGCAGGCCACCUCGUACGGCUCUUCUGCAUCCAAAGCUCAGUUGUGCUGCAAAUGCAAUCAGCCUGGGCACUGGGCUAGAGACUGUCCGGUGCAGGCGCCUCGCAUGGCUCUUCAGCUGGAAACGGCAACGGCAGCCUUGGUUUCUGCUUCAGAUGUAAUCAGCUUGGGCACUGUCCUAGUGACUGCCCAGCCCCCUACUCCUUUGCAGGUGGUAACGGCGGCGCGGGUGGUCCGGGCAUAA